rnacentral:rRNA from 1 species
GUCUAUGGCCAUGCCACCCUGAACAAGCCAGAUGUCUGAUCUCAGAAACUAAGCAGAGUCAGGCCUGGUUAGUACUUGGAUGGUGGGAGACUACCUAGAAGGACCAGGUGCCGUAGGCA